AUACUUCUUAAAACUGUAACUAAGAAUUAUCUCGGAAAAUAAAAAAUCUGUUCUUAUCAGCUUAAUAUCUGAUACGUCCUGCAUCGCAAGGACCAGAAUAUUAAACUCAUUUUUGGCUCAUGACGGAGUGCUAGGGGCUUGCUCCACCUCUGUCGCGGGUUGGCCCGGCAUUGCAGUACCGCCGGGGAUCGGCCCACACCUA